AUUAAGUUAUCCGCCUGGGGAGUACGGUCGCAAGAUUAAAACUCAAAGGAAUUGACGGGGGCCUGCACAAGCGGUGGAGCAUGUGGUUUAAUUUGAAGCAACGCGCAGAACCUUACCAGCGUUUGACAUCCCGCGCUACCCAGAGAGAUUUGGGGUUCCCUUCGGGGACGCGGUGACAGGUGCUACAUGGCUGUCGUCAGCUCGUGUCGUGAGAUGUUGGGUUAAGUCCCGCAACGAGCGCAACCCUCGUCCUUAGUUGCCAUCAUUUAGUUGGGCACUCUAAGGAAACCGCCGGUGAUAAGCCGGAGGAAGGUGGGGAUGACGUCAAGUCCUCAUGGCCCUUACACGCUGGGCUACACACGUGCUACAAUGGCGGUGACAGUGGGCAGCCACCUCGCGAGAGGGAGCUAAUCUCCAAAAGCCGUCUCAGUUCGGAUUGUUCUCUGCAACUCGAGAGCAUGAAGGCGGAAUCGCUAGUAAUCGCGGAUCAGCAUGCCGCGGUGAAUACGUUCCCAGGCCUUGUACACACCGCCCGUCACACCAUGGGAGUUGGUUUCACCCGAAGGCAGUGCGCUAACCGCAAGGAGGCAGCUGACCACGGUGGGAUCAGCGACUGGGGUGAAGUACUGUAAUCCAAAGGUAGCCGUAGGGGAACCUGCGGCUGGAUCACCUCCUUUCU
rnacentral:rRNA from 1 species